AGCUGCUAGGGUAGUGUUAGCGCUACUGCCUUCGGACCUGAAGGUUGUAGGUUUGAGCCCUACCUGUGGCUG
rnacentral:tRNA from 1 species